rnacentral:rRNA from 1 species
CUGUGAAGGAAAGGUGAAAAGGACCCCGGGAGGGGAGUGAAAGAGAACCUGAAACCCUGUGUUUACAAGCUGUGGGAGCACGUUAAGGUGCGACCGCGUACUUUUUGUAGAACGGUCCGGCGAGUUGCCGGCGCUGGCAAGGUUAAGCGGUAAAGCCGUGGAGCCGAAGGGAAACCAAGUCUCAAAUGGGCGUAAAGUCAGCGCAGGCAGACCCGAAACCGGGUGACCUAUCCAUGUCCAGGUUGAAGCGGAAGUAAAAUUCCGUGGAGGACCGGAUCCACAUCCGUUGAAAAGGGUGGGAAUGAGGUGUGGAUAGGGGAGAAAUUCCAAUCGAACCCGGAGAUAGCUGGUUCUCCUCGAAAUAGCUUUAGGGCUAGCCUCGUAUUAGUUUAGCGGAGGUAGAGCACUGAAUUCCUAAGGGGGCGUCAAAGCUUACCAAGGGAUAUCAAACUCCGAAUGCCGCAUAAAUGAUGUACGGGAGUCAGACUGCACGAGAUAAGUUGGGCAGUCGAAAGGGAAAGAGCCCAGACCUACAGCUAAGGUCCCAAAGUGUGUGUUAAGUGGAAAAGGAUGUGGGAUUUCAGAGACAACCAGGAUGUUGGCUUAGAAGCAGCCACACAUUCAAAGAGUGCGUAAUAGCUCACUGGUCGAGAGGUCCUGCGCCGAAAAUGUCCGGGGCUGAAACACAACACCGAAGCUUAGGAACGAGAGAUCGUUGGUAGAGGAGCAUUCUUAAAGGGGCGAAGCAGUACCGGCAAGGAGCUGUGGACUUUUAAGAAGAGAGAAUGCCGGAAUGAGUAGCGAGAUGGAGGUGGGAAUCCUCCAGGCCGAAUAUCCAAGGUUUCCAGAGUAAAGCUGAUCUGCUCUGGGUAAGUCGGGGCCUAAGGCGAGGCUGAAAAGCGUAGCCGAUGGACAACAGGUUGAGAUUCCUGUACCGCGUAUCAUCAGAACUGUGGGGACACAGAAGGACAGCACAUCCCGGGAAUGGGAAGACCGGGGCAAGCAGGGUAGGAGUCAGGCAGGCAAAUCCGUCUGGCAAUCCGAAGCUGUGAUGCGGAGCGAACAGAAGUAGCGAAGUGUGCGAUUCCAGCUGUCAAGAAAAGCCGCUAUUGUGUGAUACGUGCCCGUACCGUAAACCGACACAGGUAGAUGAGGAGAGAAUCCUAAGGCCGGCGGGAGAAGCAUUGUUAAGGAACUCGGCAAAAUGACCCUGUAACUUCGGGAGAAAGGGUGCCUGGGAAACCAGGCCGCAGAGAAUAGGCUCAAGCAACUGUUUAGCAAAAACACAGGUCUAUGCAAAACCGUAAGGUGAGGUAUAUGGGCUGACGCCUGCCCGGUGCUGGAAGGUUAAGAGGAGAGGUUAGAGCAAUCGAAGCUUUGAAUUGAAGCCCCAGUAAACGGCGGCCGUAACUAUAACGGUCCUAAGGUAGCGAAAUUCCUUGUCGGGUAAGUUC